rnacentral:tRNA from 1 species
AGUGUGGCUCAACGGUAGAGCAACUGAUUUGUAAUCAGUGGGUUGCGGGUUCGAUUCCUGUCACUG